GAAAGAACCGAUCGUGUGUUUUCAUGCACUACAGCUGCUACAGUUCGACAUGGUUAACUUGCACGAACUCGUCCAAUGUUCGGCUUUGCGUAAGUGAUAACCGCUACUGAUAUUAUCUCAUCGACUAGUAGUAAGGGCACUCCCUUAUCGUUAAUCCUAGGCAAGUUCUUAGAUUCGUUGUACUGCGGUAAUGAAUAAUCCUGUUGGCCGACUGGGGCGUUUGAAAACCUGGUACUUGUAAACAAGAAACAGCUAAAGAACGACUUAUCAUUUUAUUCUAACAGUGCGCAGGGCGAUGUUUCGUUAACUUCGCCAUUACUUGUACUAGUUUUAUGUACCGAAACAUGUCUUACAGUAUGAAUCACGCUUGUCUGGAGUGCCCAAGCCGUUCAUUCAGCCGCCUUGUUUUGCAAAGGUACGCAGAGAGUGACGCCGUACCGCACACGGUCAUACGGCAAGAUGCAAAAAUUCGAAUGUAACAGAGUUGGAAAAACGCCAAUGUUUUACUAAUACAAAAAAAAUGGAGCCAUAAAAGAAUUUAAACUAGACAUGUCAGCCUCAUCAUUGUACAAAGUAUUCACGAAGAUAAUUUCGAAUAGGAUAAGAGCCAAGUAAACUUGACUUUGAAGGGACCCUGAAACUGUCUUUGAAAUUUUUUGUAAGAAUUUAUUCUACAUCAUCAUCAAAUCAUUUGCACCAUGAAUUGAGCCACGCACAGCAUACCAAGGCAACUGCAAGCAAUUAUAGUGACACCCUCCUCGACCCUGCUUUGCCUCCUCAACUUGUCAAACAGCCAACCGUCACGCGCACUCGACAGGUCAAGCUCCAUCGAGCACGCGCCGUCAGGCAACAGAGACCAAGUGUGUGGAAGAUCUGCUCUGCAAUGUGCCACCACACUACCAGCUGUUCUUAUAUUCUCUUGUACGGUGACCAUCUCCAAAAGCAUGCGGACAAACAAAAGGAGCAACACAGUAGGAUGACUAAAGGACGCAACACUUCUGGACGGGAAUUACAUGUUCAAGAAUUGUUUUGAAAUGUACAAGGAAGAUAUUGGCAUUCUCCUUGCGCCAUCAGCUGUUCAACAUCUGCGAGCUGCAAAGGCUCUCCUGUAUGACAAGGAAGCAGUAGACGCGUCAUUCGCAAUGCUCAUUUUAUGUGCUUCCAAGGGAUGCAGCCAAAGGACGACCUGCGGAUGUGCGAGUCACGUUUAUGGGAGCUGCAAAAAAGAAUUAAAGUGUAUCCCCAGUGUUUGUUAUAUACUUUUAUUAUACUAUAACAGUAUAUUUCUGAACAAACCAUCUGAAACAUGGCGGAUUGGUGGCACUGCAGAAAGCCUAUGAAUGCUUGUCAAAGCAUAGAAAUACACAAAGCAGCAUAAAAUCUUGCCACUUGUGUGGCCGUUGCAUCUUUCCCUUGCCCCAAGGAAGCGGACUUACGAGCUGCCGUCCAAGGACGCGGCACAUGCUCAACAUAAAUUUUUCUCACUUAAAACAAAAAUCACUAUAAUUAAACUUUCAGAAUCGAAUUUCCUUUGUACACCCUUCGAAACAAGUGCAAUUUUAAUUUGACUGCAUCACCAAACUGCAUGUGCCUGAACAUAAGUCAUGCAUUUCUUUAACUCACUCUCAAUUCCAAAUAGCGUUACAGAGGAGAGUUGUUAAUACAUGUACAUUAUACAAUGUUAAGCAAGGCAGCUUGAAAAGAUUAAUGGUCUGGGUUAUUGGCGACAAAGGCGAGGAGGUGGUUCUAUUCAGAUGCUGUCUUUGGCAGAAUUGAAUCGAAAAAAAAAAAAAGUUCGUGUGGCAAUUUGGUACUUGGACUUUGA
rnacentral:lncRNA from 1 species